rnacentral:lncRNA from 1 species
AAAAAAAAAAGAAAAAAAAAUUUUAAUAGCUCCAAAAUAAACACACAUAUAUAUAUAGGAUGAGUGUGAUGAAAGGUCACAACUUUAUGAACUUACAGCAGAAGUCAGUAAAAAAAAAAAAUCAUAUUAAUAUAUAUCCAAUUCUGAACAGUUUCAGAGUAAUAACUAGUUCAAUUGUAAAAGAAGACUAUGGAGAGCCAGAUCUGUAUUUGAUAGUGCUCAUUCUUAAAUUAACAUUACUUGUUUAUAAUAGGUAUUCAAAAAUAUCUUCUUCCUUAAUCAUAAUGUACCUCAUCUGUGAAUCAUACAAAUAGCCUAUUUUAAUCAUUGUUUGUCUUUGAUGAGCAUCCAAAAUGCAAUGGAGCAAUGCUUAUCCUGUUUCCAGUUUUUUCUCAUAUAGACUAGAAUUUUCAUCUACCCUCAUAAGUACUAAUGGGCUUAGAUCUGGAUGUCCAAAUAUUACCAAAUUAGAGAUGUUGAAAUGUGUAUUUUUAAAAACUUGAGCUGAUGAGCUGAAACUAAGGAAAAGCUUGGAAAGCUCAAGCUAUUCAAACUUUUUUGAUUAUUAUGUAUUAAAUGGAUAUACGAAAAUGAUUACAGCACAAAGGUGGGAAAAAACGUAAGUUUAAUAAGAUCAGUCAAAU